AUUGAACGCUGGCGGCAGGCCUAACACAUGCAAGUCGAACGAGCGGCGGACGGGUGAGUAAUGUAUGGGGACUGCCCGAUCUAGGGGGAUAACUACUGGAAAAGGUGGCUAAUACCGCAUACUGUCGGAUGACCCAGAUGGGCGUAGCUAGUCGGUAAGGUAAUGGCUUAGCGAGGCGACGAUCCCUAGCUGGUCUGAGAGGAUGAUCAGCCACACUGGGACUGUGACACGGCCCAGAGUCCUACGGAGGACGCAGUGGGGAAUAUUGGACAAUGGGCGAAAGCCUGAUGCAGCCAUGCCGCGUGUAUGAAUAAGGCCCUAGGGUUGUCAAGUACUUACAGUCGUGCGGGGUUACCUACAGAAGAAGCGCCGGCUAACUCCGUGCCAGCAGCCGCGGUAAUAC
rnacentral:rRNA from 1 species